AUCUUAUUGUGAGAAGAAGAGGGAGACGUAAAUGUUGGGGUUGCACCUUUACAUAUCCUGUUCUCAUGGCUGCUAUAUUCUCUUGUAUCAGUACUUUUCAGAUUGUCAGUUUCCAAGUUAUGACAAGGAGCAUAUUGACGAAGUAAGAAC